rnacentral:lncRNA from 1 species
GCCAAAUUAAAUUUUAUGUGGUGGAUCCAUUUUUGUGUCAAAAUAAUCCUUUAGAUUUGUGAUGACAGGCUUAUGUUGGUUUUUUUAAUCAUGUCUAUGUAUGAGAGCGAUACAUUUUUGAGAACUUUAAUUUUGAAAGCCAUAAUUUUUCUUAUCCAGUUUAAGCGUGGGAAGAAGACUACAAAUAUGAGUGGGUCUUUGACUUUUGGCAAACUUCUCCAUUCGUUUUCAGAAGCACAACCAGUAUAUCAACAUCAACACAGCCGGGGCCUCGUGCCCCAGUCUUCAGAGCACAGUGAAGCAUUCUUGAUUUGAUGGCUUGCUCUCCGGCCUGGAGAAGUGGGUAAAGAUUUUUCUCUAAGACCCAGAGCAGUUGCGUGUAAACCUAUAGCGGGUUGCUAUUUGAGAUAUUCUACUAAUGAGAUGAGAGCAUUCUGCCAGGCUUGGGGGUACGUUGGCAAAGACAGAUUCAUUUCUGGUCUCUGAAAAGAACGUCUGCUCCAUAAGCUAUGCCAAAUCUUGACUGAUGCUUUGUCAUCUUAGCCGGUGGGGAAAUCCUGAACAUGAGCGGCACAAGUGAGAGGCAGGGGUUUAUGCCGGGAAAGUCAUUGAUUUUGGUGACUGCCAUUUUUACAGAAUGCCUUUCUCGAAUUAGGAGAGAACAAAAAUUGUCUAAAUCAGCUUGGUACCCUGUGUAUUCAGCUGCGUUUCGUCUUCCACCUCACCUUUCCCUUGCUUUAAUUCAUACGGCAUGCCAAAAGCUAGACUAAACUCCAUCUCAUCUUGCAUUGAGACGGGGCCCCAUUGAGAUAGUUUUGUCAAGUCGAAGGGGGAAACUGGUCAUGGAGAAAGGGGACCCCAAGCUACCCUCUGAUCAUGCUGUGACAAUGCCAGUUUCCAUUUCUCCGUCUUCUGACUACUUCAGGGUCUUGGAGCAACGUCUGUCGUUGCCUGAGCUUCUUAAGAACAAGGUUCUUGCUCUUGGGGUCCCCCGCCUCCUCAGUCUCAGUGCAGGGAUGUGCGCUGCCCGACGGCUCUCUGCUGGCUCGUGGCACCCUGUCCAUCAGGCAUGAGGUUACUCCCCAGGUGCUCACCGUGGCUGCGCUGGCCACUGCCUCUCUGCUCCACCCCGCCCUCUCCAGCCAAAGACCAUUCCAGUCCAGUCUAAAGCCUUUUCCCUCAUGGGCAAGCCCAGAGGAUGCCACAGGAUGGAGCCAAAUGUGCAAUAGAAUUAACGCCCUCAGGACACCCCUGUGCUUCUGCACUCUGGUCUCUCCACACGGCCCGAUCCCAGAAGGCUGGUAAAUGCCCCUGCUCGCUGGGGGGCGUUUCUCCCUAGUGAGACCAAAUCCUGCGCCAUUUAGUCAAGAUCAUCUAAGUAACCUCACCCGAGGUGUCCAAAGAGGGCCUUGCUCUCUGCUGGCCGGAAGUGCUUGGUGCCAGAAAACUUUUCCCCGAACCCUAGUUUCUGGCUUCCCCUCUAGCUGGGCUUGCCCCAGACACACACGCAGUGAGGGCAACCACUUCACCUCUGGCAGGAGAGCUCGGCGGGCCAUGACGUUUGUGACAUCUGGACAGCACAAUGCAGAGUCGCCUGCUCUGGUCCCCCAACCGCACCCCCAGGUUCUUGCCAACGCUGCACGCCAAACGAAGGUCGUUGAUUGACCCCCACGCUCAGCUGCUUGGUUUUUUAAUUGUGUGCUCUGCAGCUGAAUACUACGUGUAUGAGUUCACUCUGCAUAUAUAUAUAUUUGAAUAUAUGUAUAACUUGAACCGCAUCAUCACGUGCGUCACUUCUCUCAUCCAUGCUCGCCGUGUCCCCUGUGCUGUGAAGCGGGUCGCCUUGGGUGAUCUGGAGUGGCGCUGUGUGGCACCGCCCUCGGGAGCUGGGGGACGGGAUGGGACUGCCUUGUUUGUCUUGCCGUAGGUGCUGUGGCCCUGGCUUCAGCCGGUCUCUUAAACAGGAGUCUUUAUAGUCAGACCUCCGGUCCUCUGCUGUCCUUGCUGUCGGCCGUGCUGCACGAGAAGGUGGCUGCUUCCGCCCUCUUUCCUACACUGUAAUUAUUGUUUUACAAUUGAGUGCCUUAAUAAUAGUUUACAAAUACUGUGUAUUUAUGGGAAACUGUUAAGCUCUCACCUUCUGUGAUUGGAUACUUUGCCUUGUCGGUGGUGGUUGGCGGUAGGGCUGGCGCUUGUCCUGCCCCAUACUUGACUCAUCUGCUGUGCGGCCUCACGAGUGUGCCCACAACCGCCCCAGGAGCAUCGCUCUCGACAGCGCUGGGAGCUCCUGUGGGCGAGAGCGGAACUGGGUUGGCUAGCCAGCUGGGGGGUGGCGCAGCCCAGCCCCUCACCCGUUCCCCCAUCACACAAUCAUACUCUUGUUUAAUAGACUUUUUAUUACCACGUCGACCACCCUAUUUUCCUCUCUGUUAGUGUCCUGAGCUCUUUGCAACAAAAUGCAGGUACAGACCCACCCCCCCAGCCCCGCACCAAAAUCAGGAGCACCCCGGGAUGGGCUGCCCUUUGGUUUUUAGGAGUUGCCAGUGGGUUCCCAGUGUG